rnacentral:tRNA from 1 species
GCUGCGAUGGCCGAGUGGUUAAGGCGUUGGACUCGAAAUCCAAUGGGAUAUUUCCAUGCUGGUUCGAGUAGUGUACGCAGCU